GGGCGCAUAGCUCAAUGGUAGAGCAUUUGUCUUAUACACAAAUGGUUCUAGGUUCGAAUCCUAGUGCGCCCA
rnacentral:tRNA from 1 species